GACGAACGCUGGCGGCGUGCUUAACACAUGCAAGUCGAGCGAUGAACCUUUCAUGAAUUUUUCGGAAUGAUUGGAAGAGGAUUAGCGGCGGACGGGUGAGUAACGCGUGAGCAACCUGCCUUAAACAACGGGAUAGCCUCGGGAAACCGGGAUUAAUACCGUAUGAGACCCCGCCUUCACAUGAAGAAGAGGUUAAAGAUUUAUCGGUUUAAGAUGGGCUCGCGUCUGAUUAGCUAGUUGGUGAGAUAAAAGCCCACCAAGGCAACGAUCAGUAACCGGCUUGAGAGAGUGAACGGUCACAUUGGAACUGAGUCCCGGUCCAAAAUCCUACGGGAGGCAGCAGUGGGGAAUAUUGCACAAUGGGGGAAACCCUGAUGCAGCGACGCCGCGUGAGCGAUGAAGGAAUUCGUUUCGUAAAGCUCUGUCCAAGGGGAAGAUAAUGACAGUACCCUUGGAGGAAGCCCCGGCUAAAUACGUGCCAGCAGCCGCGGUAA
rnacentral:rRNA from 1 species